AUUGAACGCUAGCGGGAUGCCUUACACAUGCAAGUCGAACGGAGUGGCGAACGGGUGAGUAAUUUAUCGGUACGUACCCAGUAGCGGGGGAUAACUACGCGCAAGCGUAGCUAAUACAGCCUACUAUUGAACAGGUCGAUAUCGGUUUAGCUAGUUGGUGGGGUAACGGCCCACCAAGGCGACGAACCGUAGCUGGUUUGAGUGGACGACUAGCCAAACUGGGACGGAGACACGGCCCAGACGCCUACGGGAGGCAGAAGUGGGGAAUUUUGGACAAUGGGGGAAACCCUGAUCCAGCCAGCCCGCGUGUGCGAUGAAGGCCUUCGGGUUGUAAAGCACUUUUGGCAGGAAAGCGGUACCUGCAGAAGAAGCACCGGCUAACUACGUGCCAGCAGCCGCGGUAAUAC
rnacentral:rRNA from 1 species